GCCUUGUCUCUUCGGUGCUCGUAGGUCCAGCUAACUUAAAGUGCGGGAGCUAAGGGAAAAUCCUUCCAAUUAAUUCCUGUCUUGUGCCGAAAUGAAUAAUGUGGGGUCAGUUUCAUCACCAGGCCCGGAUUCCCUGGGAUCUCUGGCAGCAGCUGUAAUCGCGGGGUUUGCAGCGGGGGCCAUUCCAUAAUAGAAGCCACAGGUGAUAGGGAGUGAGACACUGAAGACUGUUGCCUUGCUGAAAACCUCUGACUGAUGCUGUAGAACAGGACGCUUAAGAUUGUGUCUGCUGUGGGAUGCUAUUUCUCUGGUACUUAUCAAUUUGGGCUUCUUCCAGGAGCUGAAAACCGAUUACAAAUAUGAAACAGAUUUCACUAUCUGGAUUUGAACUUACAUUAAAAAAAAUAACAAGCUCCACAAAAUAAUUGAAAAAGACCCUCUCCAAAGAGUAGCUGCAAUGUGAAUGGGAGGAGAUCAAGGAAGUAAGAGCUAAGGAUGCCUCCUCCCUGUCUCCAUGAAAAGCACCAGCGACUCCAACACUCCCUUCCAACUUGGUCUGUGACAAAGUGAAAGGUUCCACGUCUGAGCAGGUAUUCUUGUUACAGCAGCUGUAAAGCUGACUAAAACAAAGGCCCCAGGUUCAAACCCCAGCACUACAAAAUAAAGAAGCAUGAAGAUUAACAUCUCAUUUUAAGAAAAUGAUUUCACAGAAAUUAUCCCACACAGAGCUGUUGGAAUUACUGGGGGAUGAUUUCAAAGGAAAUUUUCUUCUCUAAACAUUCUUAUCCCAAGGAGCAGAAUCAACAUUAUAUCACAUCUGUGUGGGAGUUGGCUUCACAAGAUUUGCAGCCAUAAAGAGCAAGAUCAGAACUUUUUCCUACUGGGGGUGUUGGAAGCAGCCCACCAACCAUGUGGAUAUUUAUUCCCCAGAGUUGAGAGUGAGGAGUUGGCCCUUCUUGGCAUUGUCAACAGAAUGCUGGGAUAAUCUCUCCAAGGAAGUCAAAAGGAAAGGAAGAGGCAGACGGGGCCUGGGGCUCCCUAAGGGCUGUGAUCCCAGACUUCUACAGAACACUGCAACAUGCCACCUCUGUCUUAGCUACAUCAAGCAGAAUUUGGGCUCUAAGAAGACUGGAGUGCAUCCAUACAGAGCACAAAUCCCUUCUCCAAGAAGGAAACCACAGAGCUUAUCAAGAAAGAUCUGUGCCUCUGUGCCAGGCAGCAACAGCCCUGCUGAAAAAAUGAAAUAUGAAAUAAAUGAGGUGGAGCUUAAUUUUAGGGUCUACAAAUUUGUAAUGUGUUCAUCAUUCCUGUUGCCAUUUUACAUGCAGCCUGAAGUUGUCAGACAUGUUUUGUGAGGAGAGCUGCCGUUGAGUUCUGGUUUAAUGAAGCCCUCCCACCCAUUCAUGUCCUCCUCCUAAUCUCCACUUGCAGCAAUGAGCAAGAGAGGCUUUUGGAAGUGGGCAUCUCUUUUGCUUUCCUAGGGACAGGCUCCUGGGGGCAGGUUCCCAAGCAGGACUGCGAGCUGGCUUCCCAGCAGAGGGCGCACUGUCCCAGUGUCAUGGCCCCAGAGUAGUUUCCUCCUCUUCUGGGGUUGACUUCUCCCCACUAGGCUGGUUAGGGCCGCAGGAGGAAUCAGAAAUGGGCUUUCAGGAAGGGAGGAGCUGAAGGCUAUUUUAAGGAAGAAAAUCAAAUCAAAUCAUUUCAUAUCUGAAUCAGUGACUUUUAAAAUGGAAGGUCUACUUGGCUCCUGUUAACGGGCAGCUUUUCAUAAUUCUCAGCUAUUAUAAGACUACCUUUUCCUUUCUUAAACCAUCUCUGGAACCUUGCAUUGUCCGGCAUUUGUAUCUUUCACUUUAAUGAGCGCGAAAUAAGAAUUAUAUAAAGGAUUUAAUAAUUCUCACUGGACAGUUAAUUAAGCAGUGAGAAGUCUUUAGAACUGUUACUCUUUUUUGCCUUUUACAGACAAGUGCUUCCACAGAAUCCAAGGGAAGUGAUCAUGUGUGUGUGUGCACGCGCACAGCACAUGAUGUGAGAGUUAGUAAUUUUUCACAGUAAUAAAUGACCUUCCUAACAAGCUGAAAUAGUGAAAUAAAAAUCCACCUUUUCGUGGCCCACUUUCCCUGGACUCUACUUCCACUUUCCUGAAAGUUCUUUGCACAGGAAAUGAAUUCCUUCUAACUUGGUGGUGGGGGUGGAGGGGUGUUGAAUAUGUGGAUUUCAAGUUAUCCAAAUUUCUCGAUCCUUCGUAAAUCAUAGGGGCAAGACCCAGCCCACUCAUUCAUUACAAAUUCUAUUUUUUUUUAAAACCUGCUUCUGUUUUUCCUCAUUUUUGAUAGAUCCUACCACAAACUUCAGCUAGAGUAAGUGCAGACGACCAUAACACUAUUCUCACAUAGAGGGUAUUUUAUUAAGUCCAGCAGUUAAAAAUGUACAAAGUUCCUUGUAAUAAUCCAUUCAUUCUGUUCUCGCCUGAUUCUUGGAGUAAGCCUGCACAAUUAUUCAAAUCCCAGCUUUUAGCUACAGCAUACACCUCGCCAUGGGGCUAUGCCUCUGUAAUCUUGCUUUGGUCUUGCAUGUCAAAUGGAAUUAACUCCCAUAAGAAAUGUGUGCGAAGACAACCCAAAGUGUCUAAUCCUGCUGCUGUCUUAAAUUUUUGAAACUCUGAACUGUCAUCUUUUUCUAUUGCUUUGUUGAAGUUCUCACUUAUGCUUCAGUCCAUCCAAAGCUGAAGUUUAGGAAAAUUUGCAUUUUUAUGUAUUUUUUUUCCGUUAUGCUCUCCCUUGGCCUUUUCACAUGUUCUCUUUAUAGAAGGAUUUUUUUUUUCUUCCUUCAAAUUCCAAGACCAUUUUAUACACAGCGGGAUUUCAACAAGAGGUGAAUUCGCACCCCUCCCUCAUCCCCCAGGGGCAUACAAGUUGAUACACAGACAACACUAGUUGAAGAUUCACAAGCCAAAUCCAAACUGAUAUGUGUGUGUGUAUGUGUGUGUGCAUGUGUGUGUGUGUGCGCGUGUCUGAAUAUUGUAUGAGAGAAAGGAAAACAGAAAUAAUGAUAUCAUUAUUACUAUACCUUAACCACUCAAGAUAGCUAAUCACAAAAGCUAAUUCUGUCUCAAUUGAAUCUCAGACUGCAUCAUCUCCCUCAUGAAUAAAAUGCCUGGUGAAAUGA